GUCAGGAUGGCCGAGCGGUCUAAGGCGCCAGACUCAAGGUUUUCCUUGUCUGUACCAUUACAGAUAUUGGGCGUUCUGGUCCUCUCUUGAGGGCGUGGGUUCGAAUCCCACUUCUGACA
rfam:Oryctes borbonicus contig23005, whole genome shotgun sequence.